UACGUAGGGUGCAAGCGUUAAUCGGAAUUACUGGGCGUAAAGCGUGCGCAGGCGGUUAUGCAAGACAGAUGUAAAAUCCCCGGGCUUAACCUGGGAACUGCAUUUGUGACUGCAUAGCUAGAGUACGGUAGAGGGGGAUGGAAUUCCGCGUGUAGCAGUGAAAUGCGUAGAUAUGCGGAGGAACACCGAUGGCGAAGGCAGUCCCCUGGACCUGUACUGACGCUCAUGCACGAAAGCGUGGGGAGCAAACAGG
rnacentral:rRNA from 1 species